UAUGUGAUCGUCUCUCGCAUAUCAAUAAGCGGAGGAAAAGAAACUAACAAGGAUUCCCUAGUAACGGCGAGUGAAGCGGGAAGAGCUCAAAUUUGAAAUCUUAAAGGGUUUCCCUUUACGAAUUGUAGUUUAAAGAAGUGUUUUCUGUUGAGGUUUUGGUAAAAGUUCUUUGGAAUAGGACAUCAUAGAGGGUGAGAAUCCCGUAUUUGACCUUUACUUUCAACUUCGUGAUACACUUUCAAAGAGUCGGAUUGUUUGGGAAUGCAGUCCAAAAUGGGUGGUAAAUUUCAUCUAAAGCUAAAUAUUGGCGAGAGACCGAUAGCGAACAAGUACCGUGAGGGAAAGAUGAAAAGAACUUUGAAAAGAGAGUUAAACAGUACGUGAAAUUGUCAAAAGGGAAGCGUUUGACACCAGUGUUGUUUUUCUGAAAAUCAAUUAAAGAACUGUUUAUGCUAAGUUGUUUAGACUUUAUCAGCUAUCUGCUUAGUUUUGAGCUUUUCUUUAAUGCACUUUUCAGUUAACAAGUCAACAUCAAUUUCUUUUGCUGUAAAAAAGCUUGAGGAAGGUGGCUUGAGAUUCGUCUUAAGUGUUUAUAGCCUCUUGCCUAUGCAGUCGGAGAGAUUGAGGUCUGCAGCGUAGAUCCUUCGAGGCUAAAUGCAUUUGUGCUAAGUUAUAGCAUUUUAUAGACAACUUGUUGACUAUGACUUGUCUUGUAGCUUACUCGCUUAUGUUAUUUUACCUACGCUUAGGAUGUUGACGCGCGUGUGUGCGUG
rnacentral:rRNA from 1 species